AUUGAACGCUGGCGGCAGGCUUAACACAUGCAAGUCGAGCGGGGUGAUGGUGCUUGCACUAUCACUUAGCGGCGGACGGGUGAGUAAUGCUUAGGAAUCUGCCUAUUAGUGGGGGACAACAUCUCGAAAGGGAUGCUAAUACCGCAUACGUCCUACGGGAGAAAGCAGGGGAUCACUUGUGACCUUGCGCUAAUAGAUGAGCCUAAGUCGGAUUAGCUAGUUGGUGGGUAAAGGCCUACCAAGGCGACGAUCUGUAGCGGGUCUGAGAGGACGAUCCGCCACACUGGGACUGAGACACGGCCCAGACUCCUACGGGAGGCAGCAGUGGGGAAUAUUGGACAAUGGGGGGAACCCUGAUCCAGCCAUGCCGCGUGUGUGAAGAAGGCCUUAUGGUUGUAAAGCACUUUAAGCGAGGAGGAGGCUCUUUUGGUUAAUACCCAAGAUGAGUGGACGUUACUCGCAGAAUAAGCACCGGCUAACUCUGUGCCAGCCGCCGCGGUAA
rnacentral:rRNA from 1 species